rnacentral:rRNA from 1 species
AUUGAACGCUGGCGGCAUGCUUUACACAUGCAAGUCGAACGGUAACAGGGUGCUUGCACCGCUGACGAGUGGCGAACGGGUGAGUAAUGCGUCGGAACGUGCCGAGUAGUGGGGGAUAACGCAGCGAAAGUUGUGCUAAUACCGCAUACGUACUGAGGUAGAAAGUGGGGGACCUUCGGGCCUCACGCUAUUCGAGCGGCCGACAGCUGAUUAGCUAGUAGGUGAGGUAAAGGCUCACCUAGGCGACGAUCAGUAGCGGGUCUGAGAGGAUGAUCCGCCACACUGGGAAUGAGACACGGCCCAGACUCCUACGGGAGGCUGCAGUGGGGAAUUUUGGACAAUGGGCGAAAGCCUGAUCCAGCCAUGCCGCGUGUCUGAAGAAGGCCUUCGGGUUGUAAAGGACUUUUGUCGGGGAGGAAAUCCCCAGCGUUAAUACCGCUGGGGGAUGACAGUACCUGAAGAAUAAGCACCGGCUAACUACGUGCCAGCCGCCGCAGUAAUAC